rnacentral:rRNA from 1 species
CAACAUCGGUCCAAUCCUUAAAGUCAUCCUCAGUUCGGACUGGGGUCUGCAACCCGACCCCACGAAGCUGGAUUCGCUAGUAAUCGCGCAUCAGCCAUGGCGCGGUGAAUACGUUCCCGGGCCUUGUACACACCGCCCGUCAAGCCAUGAAAGCCGGGGGGCGCCUGAAGUCCGUGACCGCGAGGGUCGGCCUAGGGUGAAACCGGUGAUUGGGGCUAAGUCGUAACAAGGUACC